rnacentral:rRNA from 1 species
AACGAACGCUGGCGGCGUGCCUAACACAUGCAAGUCGAGCGAGAAAGUCCCGGCAACGGGAUGAGUACAGCGGCGAACGGGUGAGUAACGCGUGGGUAAUCUACCCUUCAGCUCGGGAUAACCUGCCGAAAGGUGGGCUAAUACCGGAUGAUGUUCCCGUGGGGAUCCCGCGGGAAGCAAAGGGGGCAGCGUAAGCAGCUCUCACUGGAGGAGGAGCCUGCGUCCGAUUAGCAGUUGGUGGGUAAUGGCCUACCAAGGCGACGAUCGGUAGCCGGCCUGAGAGGGCGACCGGCCACACUGGAACUGAGACACGGUCCAGACUCCUACGGGAGCAGCAGUGGGGAAUCUUGCGCAAUGGGCAAAGCCUGACGCAGCGACGCCGCGUGGCGAUGAAGGCC